CCAGAGAUGGAUUGGUGCCUUCGGGAACUCUGAGACAGGUGCUGCAUGGCUGUCGUCAGCUCGUGUUGUGAAAUGUUGGGUUAAGUCCCGCAACGAGCGCAACCCUUAUCCUUUGUUGCCAGCGGUUCGGCCGGGAACUCAAAGGAGACUGCCAGUGAUAAACUGGAGGAAGGUGGGGAUGACGUCAAGUCAUCAUGGCCCUUACGAGUAGGGCUACACACGUGCUACAAUGGCGUAUACAAAGAGAAGCGACCUCGCGAGAGCAAGCGGAUCUCAUAAAGUACGUCGUAGUCCGGAUUGGAGUCUGCAACUCGACUCCAUGAAGUCGGAAUCGCUAGUAAUCGUGGAUCAGAAUGCUACGGUGAAUACGUUCCCGGGCCUUGUACACACCGCCCGUCACACCAUGGGAGUGGGUUGCAAAAGAAGUAGGUAGCUUAACCUUCGGGAGGGCGCUUACCACUUUGUGAUUCAUGACUGGGGUGAAGUCGUAACAAGGUAGGCGUAGAUGA
rnacentral:rRNA from 1 species